GGAGGUGUAGGGCGAUCUGGUGACGCUCCUGGUCUUCAAAACCAGCGUGGGGCUCAACAAAGUCUCAGGUGGGUUCGAUUCCCAUCCACCUCCGCCA
rnacentral:tRNA from 1 species